CGGUAAUACGUAGGGUGCAAGCGUUAAUCGGAAUUACUAAACGUGGGGCGUGCGCAGGCGGUUUUGUAAGUCUGAUGUGGUAUAUGCGGGCUCGGUUCGGGAAUUGCAUUGGAGUGUAAAAGGCUAGAAUCUGGCAGAGGGGGGUAGAAUUCCACGUGUAGCAGUGAAAUGCGUAGAGAUGUGGAGGAACACCGAUGGCGAAGGCAGCCCCCUGGGUCAAGAUUGACGCUCAUGCACGAAAGCGUGGGGAGCAAACAGGAUUAGAUACCCUGGUAGUCCACGCCCUAAACGAUGUCUACUAGUUGUCGGGUUUUAAUUAACUUGGUAACGCAGCUAACGCGUGAAGUAGACCGCCUACGGAGUACGGUCGCAAGAUUAAG
rnacentral:rRNA from 1 species